CCUACGGGAGGCAGCAGUAGGGAAUAUUGCUCAAUGGGGGAAACCCUGAUGCAGCAACGCCGCGUGGAGGAUGAAGGUUUUCGGAUUGUAAACUCCUUUUGUUAGAGAAGAUAAUGACGGUAUCUAACGAAUAAGCACCGGCUAACUCCGUGCCAGCAGCCGCGGUAAUACGGAGGGUGCAAGCGUGACCCGGAAUCACUGGGCGUAAAGAGCGCGUAGGCGGGAUAGCAAGUCAGAUGUGAAAUCCAAUGGCUUAACCAUAGAACUGCAUUUGAAACUGUUAGUCUAGAGUAUGGGAGGGGUAGGUGGAAUUCUUGGUGUAGGGGUAAAAUGCGUAGAGAUCAAGAGGAAUACUCAUUGCGAAGGCGACCUGCUAGAACAUAACUGACGCUGAUGCGCGAAAGCGUGGGGAGCAAACAGGAUUAGAUACCCGGGUAGUC
rnacentral:rRNA from 1 species